rnacentral:rRNA from 1 species
UACGGAGGGGGCUAGCGUUGUUCGGAAUUACUGGGCGUAAAGCGCACGUAGGCGGCUUUGCAAGUUAGAGGUGAAAGCCCGGGGCUCAACUCCGGAAUUGCCUUUAAAACUGCAUCGCUAGAGUUGUGGAGAGGUAAGUGGAAUUCCGAGUGUAGAGGUGAAAUUCGUAGAUAUUCGGAAGAACACCAGUGGCGAAGGCGACUUACUGGACACAUAUUGACGCUGAGGUGCGAAAGCAUGGGGAGCAAACAGG